CAAGUCGAACGAUGAUGCCCAGCUUGCUGGGCGGAUUAGUGGCGAACGGGUGAGUAAUACGUGAGUAACCUGCCCUUGACUCUGGGAUAAGCCUGGGAAACUGGGUCUAAUACUGGAUACUACCUCUUACCGCAUGGUGGGUGGUGGAAAGGGUUUUACUGGUUUUGGAUGGGCUCACGGCCUAUCAGCUUGUUGGUGGGGUAAUGGCUCACCAAGGCGACGACGGGUAGCCGGCCUGAGAGGGUGACCGGCCACACUGGGACUGAGACACGGCCCAGACUCCUACGGGAGGCAGCAGUGGGGAAUAUUGCACAAUGGGCGGAAGCCUGAUGCAGCGACGCCCGCGUGAGGGAUGACGGCCUUCGGGUUGUAAACCUCUUUCAGUAGGGAAGAAGCGAGAGUGACGGUACCUGCAGAAGAAGCGCCGGCUAACUACGUGCCAGCAGCCGCGGUAAUACGUAGGGCGCAAGCGAUGUCCGGAAUUAUUGGGCGUAAAGAGCUCGUAGGCGGUUUGUCGCGUCUGCUGUGAAAGCCCGGGGCUCAACCCCGGGUCUGCAGUGGGUACGGGCAGACUAGAGUGCAGUAGGGGAGACUGGAAUUCCUGGUGUAGCGGUGAAAUGCGCAGAUAUCAGGAGGAACACCGAUGGCGAAGGCAGGUCUCUGGGCUGUUACUGACGCUGAGGAGCGAAAGCAUGGGGAGCGAACAGGAUUAGAUACCCUGGUAGUCCAUGCCGUAAACGUUGGGCACUAGGUGUGGGGGACAUUCCACGUUUUCCGCGCCGUAGCUAACGCAUUAAGUGCCCCGCCUGGGGAGUACGGCCGCAAGGCUAAAACUCAAAGGAAUUGACGGGGGCCCGCACAAGCGGCGGAGCAUGCGGAUUAAUUCGAUGCAACGCGAAGAACCUUACCAAGGCUUGACAUUCACCGGACCGCCCCAGAGAUGGGGUUUCCCUUCGGGGCUGUUGGACAGUUGAUGCAUGGUUGUCGUCAGCUCGUGUCGUGAGAUGUUGGGUUAAGUCCCGCAACGAGCGCAACCCUCGUUCUAUGUUGCCAGCACGUGAUGGUGGGGACUCAUAGGAGACUGCCGGGGUCAACUCGGAGGAAGGUGGGGAUGACGUCAAAUCAUCAUGCCCCUUAUGUCUUGGGCUUCACGCAUGCUACAAUGGCCGGUACAAAGGGUUGCGAUACUGUGAGGUGGAGCUAAUCCCAAAAAGCCGGUCUCAGUUCGGAUUGAGGUCUGCAACUCGACCUCAUGAAGUCGGAGUCGCUAGUAAUCGCAGAUCAGCAACGCUGCGGUGAAUACGUUCCCGGGCCUUGUACACACCGCCCGUCAAGUCACGAAAGUUGGUAACACCCGAAGCCGGUGGU
rnacentral:rRNA from 1 species